UCGUAACAAGGUCUCCGUAGGUGAACCUGCGGAGGGAUCAUUACACAAAUAUGAAGGCGGGCUGGAACCUCUCGGGGUUACAGCCUUGCUGAAUUAUUCACCCAUGUCUUUUGCGUACUUCUUGUUUCCUUGGUGGGUUCGCCCACCACUAGGACAAACAUAAACCUUUUGUAAUUGCAAUCAGCGUCAGUAACAAAUUAAUAAUUACAACUUUCAACAACGGAUCUCUUGGUUCUGGCAUCGAUGAAGAACGCAGCGAAAUGCGAUAAGUAGUGUGAAUUGCAGAAUUCAGUGAAUCAUCGAAUCUUUGAACGCACAUUGCGCCCUUUGGUAUUCCAAAGGGCAUGCCUGUUCGAGCGUCAUUUGUACCCUCAAGCUUUGCUUGGUGUUGGGCGUCUUGUCUCUAGCUUUGCUGGAGACUCGCCUUAAAGUAAUUGGCAGCCGGCCUACUGGUUUCGGAGCGCAGCACAAGUCGCACUCUCUAUCAGCAAAGGUCUAGCAUCCAUUAAGCCUUUUUUUCAACUUUUGACCUCAGAUCAGGUAGGGAUACCCGCUGAACUUAAGCAUAUCA
rnacentral:rRNA from 1 species